rnacentral:rRNA from 1 species
GACGAACGCUGGCGGCGUGCCUAAUACAUGCAAGUUGAGCGAUGAAGAUUGGUGCUUGCACCAAUUUGAAGAGCAGCGAACGGGUGAGUAACGCGUGGGGAAUCUGCCUUUGAGCGGGGGACAACAUUUGGAAACGAAUGCUAAUACCGCAUAACAACUUUAAACAUAAGUUUUAAGUUUGAAAGAUGCAAUUGCAUCACUCAAAGAUGAUCCCGCGUUGUAUUAGCUAGUUGGUGAGGUAAAGGCUCACCAAGGCGAUGAUACAUAGCCGACCUGAGAGGGUGAUCGGCCACAUUGGGACUGAGACACGGCCCAAACGCCUACGGGAGGCAGCAGUAGGGAAUCUUCGGCAAUGGACGAAAGUCUGAGCGAGCAACGCCGCGUGAGUGAAGAAGGUUUUCGGAUCGUAAAACUCUGUUGGUAGAGAAGAACGUUGGUGAGAGUGGAAAGAUCAUCGAGUGACGGUAACUACCCAGAAAGGGACGGCUAACUACGUG